AAAUAUAAAAACUUAUUAUUUCCUUUGUACUUUGUAUAUCUCAAUUUUUCUACCAUUCAAAUUUACAUGGUUAAGCAUAAUUUAUUUGGUUAACAACCGACUGCAAGAACAUCGAAAGGGAGGACUUGACAGGUCAUCAUUGAAGAUGCCAAGUGGACGUGGAUGAGUGUCUCCGAUCCAUCUCAUCACGCCGUGUGGAUGAAUGUCUACGUUACAAAUCAGCUACACACCUACCUGUUCUUGCUGAGGUCUCGAAUACCAUCGUUACAAGUACUAAGAGAUUUUUUUCGACUGGAACAAGUACUAAGAGAUUAUGAUACAGAAUUUAUGAAUAGAACGUUAACAAUUAAGGAAGGCAGAUGUCGGUAGAGUACCACUGCCUGACCCUUGCGGUGUCUUUGUCCUUAGCAGGCAACAAUGGCUUUGUGCAGCAGCCUAUAUAUGCACACGUACGUAACAGUACGUUAUCUUAGCUUUCUAUUAUAGCACCUGGCUCGUUCAUUUCUCUCUAGCUCCGAGUGUACACUUCAAUGGCUUCUAAGUCCCAAGAGAACUACAUCGAUGGAGGACUUGAAGAGAGAAGAAGAUGGUGAUGAACAGUUCAGCUACAUGCUCUUCUUACCAGAGAAGGGAAGCCUCUGGGACUUGUUUAGGUACGCCGUUUUGGGGGACAUAGACAAUGGGGCUCAGUUCUCAGUUCCUGGAGAGCUCGGAGAAAGAGAUGGUGGCAUGCGUGGCUCAAGAGCUUAGAUGGGGCAUGGUGGUCAUCCUAGCAUUCCGCAAAUUCGCAGCUCUUUUUGGGAAGUCAUUGAAUUUGAGUGGCAACGUUGUCGACUUCCUUCUGAACUUGCUCUCUCUCAAUGGGAACCUCUUUGGCUUGCUUUGCAAUCUUCUCCAUGGUAACUAAAGAUAAACCCUUUUACAACUAUUUUAUGUCAUCACUUAUGUUUUGGUUGUGCUUCACUACUAAGCAUGGAUAUAGUUCAAAAAUGGUUCCCUUUUGGAAUUCUUUGUUCAUACAUUCUAUUAAGAAGUUGUGUGACUUGUGUCUACUUACAUAGUUACAUAUGCAUUCAUCCAUGCUAAUGAGUAAGCAGGAACAGUGGUAGUGCCGCAGAGGGGUACCGCGAAUUUUGUUAGUAUAAAUGGUCAUCUGGAUGGGCGGAUAGAUCUGUCCAAGAAGGGUGACAGCUUAGUAGAAGACAUAGUUGCUUCUGAUAAAUCUGAAGAAUCAAGAAUGCAAUCACAAAUGGGAAACCCUGCUCUUAUGGAGCUCACCAUUAUGGCUGCCUGACUUGGCUCAUAAACUCGCAAGCGUAUGAAUCUUGUCAAGUAAGGGAAAUAUUUAGACCUUAGUUAUCGUACCACGAGGAUUAGGUUGGACCUAACCAAGGUAAUCGGCUUAAGAAUACUAAAAGGCACACAAGAAAAAUAAAAUAAAGACAAAGAAAACUAUAAACAAACACUCAAGGCACCAAGCCUUGGCAAUGCUCGGCCUAGCUCACACUAAGCCUAAUCAAAACCACUAACUUGUACCUUAAGGGUGGUUAUGCACAAAUGAGUUGAUAGUUGAAAAGAAAUUGAAUUGGGGAUUAACUAAAUUAAUGCAAACUACAAUGAAAAGUAAACAACUAACUAACAAGUUAGAAAGUAAAUUUGGUUUUUCAAAUCAAUGGGGACAUGGGAAUGGUCUUGAGGCCAACCUCAUAAAUACAUGCAUUCCCUAAUGUGUCAAGUCUCAUAUCUAAUGCCGGUCAAGUCUCAUAUCUAUCCUUGAGGCCAACCUCAUAACCCUCUUGUAAAUAUUGACGCCAACCUCAUAAAUACAUGCAUUCCCUAAUGUGUCAAGUCUCAUAUCUAAUACCGGUUAGGGCUACUAGACCAAUUAUCCUUACGGUGUAUCGAUUAUGCCGGUUAAGGCCACAAUCAACUCUCUAAUAUAGGCACUACGCCGGUUAAGGCUGCAAUAUCUAAAUUAGAGGCCUAGAGUGCAAGAUAAUAGAGACCCAAGCAAGCUUAGCUACAAUUAAGCUAGCUAAUGGUUACCAUGCUCAAAUCCUAGAUGCCACAAGACUAACAAGUAGUCAACUCAUUAUUUUACUCAUCACAAUUGCUCACAACAUAAUUUCAAAAGGUGACUAGGCCUAGAAACAUGCUUCUAAGGACCAAUAAAAAUUGCCUACACAAUGAAAAUUGUAUGUAUUAUAAUUAAAGCAUCAAUGUCAUUACAAGAUGGGUUAGGGCUUCACAACCCUAACUCCCAAAGUCAAACUACUCACUACCCAUUAGCAAAUACAUCAUCCAAUACAUGAGAAAUGAAGAGAAAGGAUAGAGAAGAGAGAAACACAAGCUAGGUUCACCAAUUGCUAUGAGCAAGUAUGAACCACUUGAAAUUGAGUUUCCUCUCUUUACCAAACUUAAAUCUCCUUGUGUUGGUGAAGCCUUGAUGCUUGUUGGUGAGAGCCCUUCUUAAUCCCUUUUGAAGAUGAAAAUGGUCUUGAGGAGAAUGGUGGCCUUGAGGUGAAUGGAAGAGAAUGGUGAAGGGGUGCGGCUGUGUUUGUGAAGAAGAAAGAAGAGAGGAUAGAAUGAGAUGGUCCCCUAGGUCUCGGUGAGGCUGGUUUUGAUGAAGAGGAGCAGCUGCCACGUGACGCAAGCUGAAUGGAGGAGAGGACAAAAAGGAUGAAGCUUUGUGCUGCACGGUUGCACAAGAUUUGUUCACCUCAAUUAAUCAUACAAUGAUCAAUUAAUGAUUAAUUAGCUUAACGAAACUCCAGCUCUCUUUAAUUUCAAAUCCAUGUGCUUCAAUUUUGCUCAAAUAUCACCAUUUUCUAUCCGAAAUCCAAAUUUCCACUUAUUUUUUACAAAUAAAUAAAAUUAGAUUAAUUACAUUAUAAUUAACUUAAAGAUUAGUUAAAUCCUAACGUUAAAGUAGUAAUUACGUAUAUAUAAAUGCACGUAAUCACUGCCAAGUUAGCAUAUGAGAAUGCCAAACUCAUCAGAAGAAUCGUUAAUGAUGAUUGGGAGGCAAGCUAUUCUACUCUUGUUCUGUUUCUCCAUUUUACAUCUUUACAAUAGAUAGUACUUACUAGUUCAUGCAUUAACGGUUUUUCUGAUCACUUUGGC
rnacentral:lncRNA from 1 species